GUUGUAUGGUCAAGUAAUGAAGCGCACAUGGUGGAUGCCUUGGCAGUCAGAGGCGAUGAAAGACGUGACAGCCUGCGAUAAGCUUCGGGGAGGCGGCAAUAUCCUGUGAUCCGGAGAUUUCUGAAUGGGGAAACCCACUUACCAUAAGGUAGGUAUCUUGUACUUGUACAAGAAGCGAACGAGGGGAAGUGAAACAUCUCAGUACCCUUAGGAAAAGACAUCAAAUGAGAUUCCCCAAGUAGCGGCGAGCGAACGGGGAGAAGCCGAUUAAUGCUAAUGUAGAAGAACAGCGUGGGAAAGCUGACCGUAGUAGGUGAUAGUCCUGUAUUCGAAACAUUAGCGUUAACAUAUUAAGUAGGGCGGGACACGAGAAAUCCUGUCUGAAGAUGGGGGGACCAUCCUCCAAGGCUAAAUACUCCUGACUGACCGAUAGUGAACCAGUACCGUGAGGGAAAGGCGAAAAGAACCCCUGUGAGGGGAGUGAAAUAGAACCUGAAACCGUGUGCGUACAAGCAGUAGGAGCCUCAAUUUAUUGGGGUGACUGCGUACCUUUUGUAUAAUGGGUCAGCGACUUAUAUUCUGUAGCAAGGUUAACCGUUUAGGGGAGCCGUAGGGAAACCGAGUCUUAAUAGGGCGUCUAGUUGCAGGGUAUAGACCCGAAACCGAGUGAUCUAUCCAUGAGCAGGUUGAAAGUGCCGUAACAGGCACCGGAGGACCGAACCCACUGUCGUUGAAAAGCCAGGGGAUGACUUGUGGAUAGGGGUGAAAGGCUAAUCAAACUCGGUGAUAGCUGGUUCUCCCCGAAAGCUAUUUAGGUAGCGCCUCGGACGAAUACCAUUGGGGGUAGAGCACUGUUUCGGCUAGGGGGUCAUACCGACUUACCAAACCGAUGCAAACUCCGAAUACCGAUGAGUAAUAUCCGGGAGACACACGGCGGGUGCUAACGUCCGUCGUGGAGAGGGAAACAACCCAGACCGCCAGCUAAGGCCCCAAAUUCCUAGUUAAGUGGGAAACGAGGUGGGAAGGCAUAGACAGCUAGGAGGUUGGCUUAGAAGCAGCCAUCCUUUAAAGAAAGCGUAAUAGCUCACUAGUCGAGUCGGCCUGCGCGGAAGAUGUAACGGGGCUCAAACUAGGAGCCGAAGCUGCGGAUUUGAAACUUGUUUUCAAGUGGUAGGGGAGCGUUGUGUAAGCCUGUGAAGGUGUGUCGUAAGGCAUGCUGGAGGUAUCACAAGAGCGAAUGCUGACGUGAGUAACGAUAAUGCGAGUGAAAAGCUCGCACGCCGGAAGAUCAAGGGUUCCAGUCCAACGUUAAUCGGGGCUGGGUGAGUCGACCCCUAAGGCGAGGCCGAAAGGCGUAGUCGAUGGGAAAUUGGUUAAUAUUCCAAUACUUGUUUAUAGUGCGAUGGAGGGACGGAGAAGGUUAUGUCAGCCUGGCGUUGGUUGUCCAGGUGAAAGGAUGUAGGCUUACAGUUUAGGCAAAUCCGGACUGUAAUAUGGCUGAGAUCUGAUAGCAAGCUGUACUUGUACAGCGAAGUGGCAAAUACCAUGCUUCCAGGAAAAGCUUCUAAGCAAUAGCUAUAAACGAAUCGUACCCUAAACCGACACAGGUGAUCAGGUAGAGAAUACCAAGGCGCUUGAGAGAACUCUGCUGAAGGAACUAGGCAAAAUGGUACCGUAACUUCGGGAGAAGGUACGCUGUUGAUGGUGAUAGGACUUGCUCCUUGAGCUUUCGACAGUCGCAGAUACCAGGCUGCUGCAACUGUUUAUUAAAAACACAGCACUCUGCAAACACGAAAGUGGACGUAUAGGGUGUGAUGCCUGCCCGGUGCUGGAAGGUUAAUUGAUGGGGUUAGCGUAAGCGAAGCUCUUGAUCGAAGCCCCAGUAAACGGCGGCCGUAACUAUAACGGUCCUAAGGUAGCGAAAUUCCUUGUCAGGUAAGUUCUGACCUGCACGAAUGGCAUAAUGAUGGCAGCGCUGUCUCCAGCAGAGACUCAGUGAAAUCGAAAUCGCAGUGAAGAUGCUGUGUACCCGCGGCUAGACGGAAAGACCCCGUGAACCUUUACUACAGCUUUACAUUGAACUUUGACCUGACUUGUGCAGGAUAGGUGGGAGGCUUUGAAGCCGAGACGCUAGUCUCGGUGGAGCCAAUCUUGAAAUACCACCCUGGUCAUGUCGGGGUUCUAACUCAGGUAUAACAAUACCGAGGACAAUGUAUGGUGGGUAGUUUGACUGGGGCGGUCUCCUCCUAAAGAGUAACGGAGGAGUACGAAGGUGCGCUCAGAACGGUCGGAAAUCGUUCAUAGAGUAUAAAGGCAAAAGCGCGCUUAACUGCGAGACCCACAAGUCGAGCAGGUACGAAAGUAGGUCUUAGUGAUCCGGUGGUUCUGUAUGGAAGGGCCAUCGCUCAACGGAUAAAAGGUACUCUGGGGAUAACAGGCUGAUACCGCCCAAGAGUUCAUAUCGACGGCGGUGUUUGGCACCUCGAUGUCGGCUCAUCUCAUCCUAGGGCUGAAGCAGGUCCUAAGGGUAUGGCUGUUCGCCAUUUAAAGAGGUACGCGAGCUGGGUUUAGAACGUCGUGAGACAGUUCGGUCCCUAUCUACCGUGGGCGUUGGAAAUUUGAGAGGAUCUGCUCCUAGUACGAGAGGACCAGAGUGGACGAACCUCUGGUGUUCGGGUUGUCACGCCAGUGGCAUUGCCCGGUAGCUACGUUCGGAUGGGAUAACCGCUGAAAGCAUCUAAGCGGGAAGCCCACCUCAAGAUUAGAUUUCCCUAAAGAGCCGUUGAAGACUACGACGUUGAUAGGCAGGGUGUGGAAGUGCAGCGAUGCAUGUAGCUAACCUGUACUAAUUGCUCGUUUGGCUUGACCAUACAACACCCAAG
rnacentral:rRNA from 1 species